GGGAUUAAACCUGCAUCCUCAUGGAUACUGGUCAGGUUCUUAACCCGCUGAGCCACAGUGGGAACUCCAGCCCCAUCUUUUUCUUGCUUACCCAGAGCAGAGGUGGAGAGGGAGGAGGCCUCUGGGAGGCUAAGGCACGGAGGAUUCUUUAGGGCAGCUGGGCUUCUUCAGUGCCCAGGUGAAGAGCGCAGACUCCGCCUUUGGACGGCCUGUGUUCAGUUCUAUCCACUGCUGCUCCCCACCCAUGGCAGAAUAGGAGAUGCACCUUCCCCACUGCCCGCCUGGACAAAUCCAUCCUCUUCUGCUGGUCCAGCGCGGCACGGACUUCAUCAGUGUUGCCCAGCAGGGACCUUGCUCGGAGGCUGUCAGAGUGGGUGAGAAAUCUGUGGGCAGAGAGAUGGGUGAUGAAGCAAUGGAUGACUGGACGGGCUUCUCCCAGCUCCAGCCACCACAGGUGUCACCCACAACCCUUCAAAACCCGUCAGCUCUAGAGGUAAGCAAAUAAGCCACCUCCCACACACGUAGGUAGGACCCAUUUCUCUUCCUUAAAGACAACCCCCUCCCCUGUGUUCUCAGGCAGUUAACUGCUGACUGUUGCAGAGGCAGCUCCUGCUCUGCAUUCUUAGAAGCCCCUCUCAGGGCUGGGCAUGCUUCAGUGGGUUUUGAGUGGUGAGGAGUGCUUUUCUCAGAGGCUGCAUUCCACACAGGGCCUAACAAACGGAUAAAAUGAGUCUGCAAUUAGUGGCAUCUCUUCACACACAAAGAAUUAAUGCGCUGAAGGCUGUUUGUUUAUUCUCUUGCACUAGUCAAAUAUGGCCCACAAUCCUGUUUUGAUCAAACCUUGGCUUAGAAAACCUCCUUUUUGUGUUCCAUGGAGAGGACAAAUGCACUAAUACAAAAAAAAAAAAAAAAAAAAA